GAUGAACGCUGGCGGCGUGCCUAAUACAUGCAAGUCGAGCGAACGGACGAGAAGCUUGCUUUUCUGAUGUUAGCGGCGGACGGGUGAGUAACACGUGGAUAACCUACCUAUAAGACUGGGAUAACUUCGGGAAACCGGAGCUAAUACCGGAUAAUAUUUUGAACCGCAUGGUUCAAAAGUGAAAGACGGUCUUGCUGUCACUUAUAGAUGGAUCCGCGCUGCAUUAGCUAGUUGGUAAGGUAACGGCUUACCAAGGCAACGAUGCAUAGCCGACCUGAGAGGGUGAUCGGCCACACUGGAACUGAGACACGGUCCAGACUCCUACGGGAGGCAGCAGUAGGGAAUCUUCCGCAAUGGGCGAAAGCCUGACGGAGCAACGCCGCGUGAGUGAUGAAGGUCUUCGGAUCGUAAAACUCUGUUAUUAGGGAAGAACAUAUGUGUAAGUAACUGUGCACAUCUUGACGGUACCUAAUCAGAAAGCCACGGCUAACUACGUGCCAGCAGCCGCGGUAAUACGUAGGUGGCAAGCGUUAUCCGGAAUUAUUGGGCGUAAAGCGCGCGUAGGCGGUUUUUUAAGUCUGAUGUGAAAGCCCACGGCUCAACCGUGGAGGGUCAUUGGAAACUGGAAAACUUGAGUGCAGAAGAGGAAAGUGGAAUUCCAUGUGUAGCGGUGAAAUGCGCAGAGAUGUGGAGGAACACCAGUGGCGAAGGCGACUUUCUGGUCUGUAACUGACGCUGAUGUGCGAGAGCGUGGGGAUCAAACAGGAUUAGAUACCCUGGUAGUCCACGCCGUAAACGAUGAGUGCUAAGUGUUAGGGGGUUUCCGCCCCUUAGUGCUGCAGCUAACGCAUUAAGCACUCCGCCUGGGGAGUACGACCGCAAGGUUGAAACUCAAAGGAAUUGACGGGGGCCCGCACAAGCGGUGGAGCAUGUGGUUUAAUUCGAAGCAACGCGAAGAACCUUACCAAAUCUUGACAUCCUUUGACAACUCUAGAGAUAGAGCCUUCCCCUUCGGGGGACAAAGUGACAGGUGGUGCAUGGUUGUCGUCAGCUCGUGUCGUGAGAUGUUGGGUUAAGUCCCGCAACGAGCGCAACCCUUAAGCUUAGUUGCCAUCAUUAAGUUGGGCACUCUAAGUUGACUGCCGGUGACAAACCGGAGGAAGGUGGGGAUGACGUCAAAUCAUCAUGCCCCUUAUGAUUUGGGCUACACACGUGCUACAAUGGACAAUACAAAGGGCAGCGAAACCGCGAGGUCAAGCAAAUCCCAUAAAGUUGUUCUCAGUUCGGAUUGUAGUCUGCAACUCGACUACAUGAAGCUGGAAUCGCUAGUAAUCGUAGAUCAGCAUGCUACGGUGAAUACGUUCCCGGGUCU
rnacentral:rRNA from 1 species